rnacentral:tRNA from 1 species
GCCUUUGUGGUGUAACGGUAGCACACUCGGCUUCUAUGCUAGAAGUCCAGGUUCGAGUUCCGGAAAGGGCA